rnacentral:lncRNA from 1 species
GGGCCUGCUUUACCUUUAAAAGAAAUUCUAGAUAGUGGGAUUGAUGGUAUGUCUUUCCUUAAAAAGGGCAUAGCCUGAUUCGAGAUACUCCUUCCUCCAUUCAAGUACAGGAGGAGAGAUUUUUCUUUGUUUCUUCUAUUGACGGAAAGGACUGGGGCUUUGCAUCAUGGGCCGACCUUGGAGAUUGGCAAUCUGAGCUCCACCACUGGGC